GGUCACCAAGCAUUAUUUGCUCAUUGGGUAUUUGAAGAAGAGGGUCCAAGAAAAAGGAGGUCAAAACAGACUCCGAAGGCCUCUCCCUUCCAUUAGAAACAUUUGAUUCAGCUCCUCUAAGUGAAGACAGAGUUGCUGGAAUUAUUACAGCUGAUUUUGCCCCAGGCACGGUUCACUGGGGAGCUGGUACCUGGGGUUCCGCUGAUAUCCCUGUCACUGGCAAGAGUUGUAUUAGGCCAUUUAGCAUCAUGUUGAUCCAGCAGCAAUAAAGCGUUACUUCAUUGAGACUGAUGGAAAUAACGCUUCAAUAGCCAUAAAUCCACCUGCCUGCAUGUUGCAUUAUCCACCUUCUCAAACAUCAGAUAUGCCAUCAAAUGGCCAGUUAUCCUCUGAUCGCUUGUUUGACUUGGAUUUCGACAAGACUGACAGCACCAGCAGAAGACACCCUGCUACCAGCCCCACCGUGCCUUCUCCUUGCUGUAACAUUGCUUUUUUCCUUUCGCCUUUAAAUUGGGAUGUGUUACCUAAGAUAUGUUACAAUCUUAUUAUUUCCCCAGGUAUGUGCUCCAGAGAUGCUGGGCCAUUAGAAAAUCUUCCAUCCAUUUAUUUUAAAAUAUACUUGAAAAGAAGCCUUUUGAAACCAGCAGAGAUUGGCCUACGUAGAAAGAGAAAUGUAGUAUUUGCAAGGGAACAUUUGCACUGUCUAUCUCCCUCUGACUUUAAGUCAAAAGAAGUAUUUUGCUGA
rnacentral:lncRNA from 1 species